GUGCUCAUUUGGCAGCACAGUUACUAAACUGGAAUGAUCUAGAGAUGAUUGGCAUGGCCCUGUGCAAGGGUAACAUACGAAUUUGAGAAGUGUUCCCGGUUUUU